GGUCAGACUCUGAGUCAGUCCCAAGAGGGAUCUCUGAGAGAAAUCUCUCCCCUUAAUCAGCUGAGGGGGGCUGACAACGACAUGCUGUUGUAAAUAGGAUGCUGCAGAAUGCUGGCAAGAGGGUAGAGUGACUGGGAAAAAGAGCUGGCAUCGAGUGGAAAAAACAACACCUAGGUGGAAGGAAAUGAUACCCCAAGGGAAAAGGAAAGAUGUACCAGGAGUAGAAGCCACUGGACAAGAAGACAUUCCAAGAUGAAAGGGAAGAAGGGAGAGUCUUCUGCAAGACUGAAAAGGAAAGGAAGUAAAAUAAAGGAAGCAAGGGGAAGCCAGUGUAGAAAGCAGAAGAGUUACACCGCAAGUCAUGCCUGUAAAAGGACAGAAGGAGCUUUCCACCUUCUUAUCCUCUGAGUUUCCCUAAAGUAAACUUCAGUAAAAGAAAGCAGAUCACACUAAGUAAAGGAAACAGCUGUCAGUAAGCAUUUCAUUAAACUCAAGUGCUGAUUUCUCUCCCUCACCUUGCAACUACUUCACAUAGAUAAAACAGGACACCUGUGUCCCAAAGAGGAAAUUCAAGGUCAAAGCUGAGACAACUUCAUUAAUUCAAUUCCAUGCUCCCUGUGUGUUGCAGCACAUAUGGGCUGUAACUUGUGGAACACAGUGCUGAGACCACUGUGAAGCCUAAGCACAAAUGGAAGUAUUAUGGAAAAAAUAUCAGUGCAAAUUUUGUCCUUUUCUUUGAAUUGUGUGAAAAUGUAAUUAAAGUUUUUCCUUGGCAUGUGGGGUUA